CCACGGGGGGCUGCAGUGGGGAAUAUUGGACAAUGGGCGAAAGCCUGAUCCAGCCAUGCCGCGUGUGUGAAGAAGGCCUUCGGGUUGUAAAGCACUUUCAGUGGGGAAGAAAGCCUUGGGGCUAAUACCCUCGAGGAAGGACAUCACCCACAGAAGAAGCACCGGCUAACUCCGUGCCAGCAGCCGCGGUAAUACGGAGGGUGCGAGCGUUAAUCGGAAUUACUGGGCGUAAAGCGCGCGUAGGCGGUCUGAUAAGCCGGUUGUGAAAGCCCCGGGCUCAACCUGGGAACGGCAUCCGGAACUGUCAGGCUAGAGUGCAGGAGAGGAAGGUAGAAUUCCCGGUGUAGCGGUGAAAUGCGUAGAGAUCGGGAGGAAUACCAGUGGCGAAGGCGGCCUUCUGGACUGACACUGACGCUGAGGUGCGAAAGCGUGGGUAGCAAACAGGAUUAGAUACCCUUGUAGUC
rnacentral:rRNA from 1 species